rnacentral:piRNA from 1 species
UGCCCAUGAAGGAUUAACAUCUGUCCCACU